UUCUGAGGAAAAAAAAACCAGAUUAUGUCAAGCUAAUAAUCAGCAGAAGGGCAAUCAGAUCAUUUCAAGAUGCCAAGAAGAGCUUACAGCAAGAAGGGAAAAUUUUAGAAUAAGAAUAGUUUAAUGGCUUUGAAUUACUUUAGUAACCUGAGACGCAUUCUAAGAAGCAAGACACUAGAAAACAAAAUAUCAUCUGAACACCCAAAAGUUUUGGGAAUAUCCAAACCCGUGAAGUACGUGUCAACGUGCAUUAGUAGUAAAUCUUUUUCUAAAAAAAGAAUAGAAAAUUUUAAACUUCACAGAUGUAUGAAUUCUUGAUAGGUUUUUAAAAUAAAAUUAUAUACUUUGAGUACAUACACCUAAAUCACGACAUGCUCAUAUCUACAUUUCUUAGUUGACAUGACCCUCCCAAACCUCAUUAACUUGAAUUUUUGCUAAUGCAGGAAAUUAUCAUCAUAACUUCACAGUUCUUUUCAGAACAAGGAAAGUUCAAGCCCAAACCUCGCAGUGCAGCUGAAGCUCCAUGACAUUGUACAGCAACAGAGAUCCCUUGGUGAUGCUGGCUGGAAUAGCUAAGAAGCAACCAUCCAAACUGGGGGAGAAUGCACAGGUUCCUAAAAUUUUUCAUGUUCAGGAAAGAACCCUCAGUCACUUAAUUUUACUUUAUUACUCAUGCAUCAGAAUCAAAACCUAGCUUAUUAAGCAUGCAAGAUUUGGAUAAACUUAUUGAGAAUGUAGCCUUUGCUCAAUUGUGUUUGAGCCAUAAAAAUAUAAACAUGACAGAGUUAAGAGUUCUUUACCAAGUUCAAGCAUUGCAAUGCAAUGAGCAAAUGAAAAUUCUUGAAUAGAACAGCAAUGUAAAUAAAUGCUAGAAACUUAGACAAAAUUCUCUAGCAUGAACAUAGUAUGCCGGAGAUAGCAAAUACAACAGGAAUAUAUACCAACCUGACCUUUUGAAUUUGGUACCGUAUCAAUCGUGUCCAAGAUUGUGAGACUAUUUAUGUCGUAUAUGUAUGUCUUAUCUUGAAGUAGUA